GCCAGCUGCAUGAGAGCAGGAAUUGGUCUUGUUCAGCACUGGGAAAAGUACCUGGCACACAUUGGUGACCAAUAAGUAUUGUUGAAAGGACAGAUGAGGCAAGGAAUGAGAAGUAUCUGGACGGAAGUCAUCUUUAUCCACGCUGCCUGCACCACCCCCAGGCCAACUCUGUGUAACUGGUGAUAAAUAUCCAAGUGGACUUGAGAGAACUUGGAAUGCAAUGCCGCCUGCUUCCUGCUCCCGUGGGACCCACGUGACUCUCAUCCCAGAGGAGACACCUGUGCCUCCAACCCGGUGGCUUGCCUCCUCGUCCCUCAGGAUGUAACGACAACGACAAGUUUACUGUGUGAGGUCCCAGGCCGAGCGCCAACGCUGAAUGGUUCAUUCAGACCUCACAUUGUCUGGCACAUUUUCAAGCAUUCUUCCCCGUGUUUUGUAGACAAGAAAACCAAGGCUCCCUGAGGGCCAGGUUAAGUAACUUGUCCAGCUGCUCGCCACGGCGCAAAGAUGAAGCUGAGUUUUGAAAUACCACAUCAUGCGGUAUUUAGAGAAGAAGAUUGAAAAGACUUUUCAGAAGAGGUGGGGAGGGACAAUUUUGACAUUAUCUUUUUUCUCCUUAUCAUAUAAGCAAUGCAUGCUCAUUGUUUGUUUAAUUAAGAAAAAGUCAGAGUUUGAAAAGACAUUAGCAGAGGAGUGGUGGUGAGGUUUCCCCUCAUCUGCCUGUUUCUUUCUAAGAACUAAGGGAAAUGACUGAGCCCUCAGAGGGGAGGGAGGGAGGAGAGAAUGUCCUGGCAUUAAAUCUGAGCGGAGAACAUCGUAACCCUGCAGGGGAGGUGUCCAUCCAUGUGCCGUGCUUCCACACAAGCUUGCAAAGCAUCGGAACCCGUGUUCAUGAUUGGUGGCAGUGGGUCUGAAACAAGCCUGAUUCUCUGGAUUUCUGCAUUUCGGGUGGCCAGGCUCUCUGCACAGCUGUGACAGUGACCCUCCCCCUGACUCAGCUCUGUCUUCCCACAUUUAGCCCAGUUUUAGCGGAAAUCCCCCACCCUCGAUGUUGUCACCUCAGCCUCACUUUAGCAAGAAUCCCGUGGAGUUGGUCUAGCAAGAACGCCCCCAGUCUUGUGUUUCCUCCUAGUAACUUCCCAUCCAUCACCACCCAAUACACACCCUACUCCUUGGCUCUGAAUCCCCACUUGUCCUUAUUGUGUUCAGAGCUGAGCCUCUCAGUCUCUCCCCGCUACUGCAAAACCCCAGUGCUGUGGCCCCUACGCUUGUCAGGAUGGCCCCUGAAUAAAAUCUGCCUUACGGUUCUUUAAUGAGGGUCAUGAAUAUUAUUUUCUUCAACAACUGU
rnacentral:lncRNA from 1 species